rnacentral:rRNA from 1 species
UACGUAGGGUGCGAGCGUUGUCCGGAAUUAUUGGGCGUAAAGGGCUCGUAGGCGGUUUGUCGCGUCAGGAGUGAAAACUCGGGGGCUUAACCCCGAGCCUGCUUCUGAUACGGGCAGACUAGAGGUAUGCAGGGGAGAACGGAAUUCCUGGUGUAGCGGUGAAAUGCGCAGAUAUCAGGAGGAACACCGGUGGCGAAGGCGGUUCUCUGGGCAUUACCUGACGCUGAGGAGCGAAAGUGUGGGGAGCGAACAGG